CUGAGUUGCGUUCCCUUUUAGGGACCAUCUCCACCCUGUGCGAACUACUAUUGUUGCUUUGGCGGGCCGCGGCUCCGCUGCCGCUGGCCCCCGCUAGCGAGCGCCCGCCAAAGACUUUUAAAUUCUAUUUAUAUGGCGUCUGAGCAAAAAAUUAAAUGCGAA
rnacentral:misc_RNA from 1 species